rnacentral:rRNA from 1 species
CGACCGGCGCGACGGUGCGUAACGCGUAUGCACUACUUACGAGGGGAUAACACUGAAGUAAAUUGGUACUAAUACCCCAUAAUAUCAUAGAGGCAUCUUUUAUGGUUGAAAAUUCCGAUGGUUAGAGAUGGGCAUGCGUUGUAUCAGCUAGUUGGUGGGGUAACGGCUCACCAAGGCGACGAUACAUAGGGGGACUGAGAGGUUAACCCCCCACACUGGUACUGAGACACGGACCAG